UACGUAGGGUGCAAGCGUUGUUCGGAAUCAUUGGGCGUAAAGCGUGUGUAGGUUGUUUAUCAAGUUGAUUGUGAAAUCCCUCGGCUCAACCGAGGAAGUGCAGUCAAAACUAAUAGGCUAGAGGACAGCAGAGGAUGGUGGAAUUCCAAGUGUAGAGGUGAAAUUCGUAGAUAUUUGGAGGAAUACCGGCGGCGAAGGCGGCCAUCUGGACUGUUCCUGACACUGAGACACGAAAGCGUGGGUAGCAAACAGG
rnacentral:rRNA from 1 species